UGAUGGACAGAAAAAGCAAUUGUACUUUCUUGAGUCAUGAAAUCCAAAGUCCGUCAUCAUUGAUGUUGCGGAUGUGGGACAUUUUGGACAAAAUCAGUGGGUCCUUCAUCUGCCAGCAUUUCUUCAGCAAAGAAUCUCCAUAUAAUUUGAGAAUUGACUGAGAGGCAGGAAAGCUUUUCCCUGAGACAUCCUGCAGGUUGGGACAAUGAUGUAUCAAUAGCUCCUGGAGAUGGUCAAGUCCCUUGCAGUCUAAGAUUUCUAGACUUGGAAAGCAUCGCAAAUAGAGAGUCUCAAGGGAGGACGGCAGGCAACCGUCCAUGGGGAAGGAAUUGAUGUUAUCAUAAGGAUGUUCAAUGUCAAGAUGU